ensembl:misc_RNA Metazoa_SRP Metazoan signal recognition particle RNA
GCCGGGCGUGGUGGCUCACGCCUGUAAUCCCAGCAUUUUGGGAGGCUGAGGUGGGUGGAUCACCUGAGGUCAGGAGUUCAAGACCAUCCUGGCCAACAUGGUGAAACCUCGUCUCUACUGAAAAUACAAAGAUUAGCUGGGCAUGGUGGCAAGCACCUGUAAUCUCAGCUACUCGGGAGGCUGAAGCAGGGAGAAUUGCUUGAACCUGGGAGAUGGAGGUUGCAGUGAGCCAAGAUUGCACCACUGUACUCCAGCCUGACCGACAGAGUGAGACUCCAUCUCA